CAGCCGCCGCGGUAAUACAGAGGGUGCGAGCGUUAAUCGGAUUUACUGGGCGUAAAGCGAGCGUAGGCAGCUUUUUAAGUCGGAUGUGAAAUCCCUGAGCUUAACUUAGGAAUUGCAUUCGAAACUGGGAAGCUAGAGUAUGGGAGAGGGUGGUAGAAUUCCAGGUGUAGCGGUGAAAUGCGUAGAGAUCGGGAGGAAUACCAAUGGCGAAGGCGGCCAUCUGGACUGAUACUGACGCUGAGGUACGAAAGCGUGGGGAGCAAACAGGAUUAGAUACCCCAGUAGUCCCUGUCUCUUAUAC
rnacentral:rRNA from 1 species